rnacentral:misc_RNA from 1 species
ACACUUAACGUUUAAUUUCGAGAAAAAUCGAGAAAAUACUAUGUCGGAAGGAACCUCGCGGUUAUUUGAAAAUGUUUGUCUGAAAAAUCACACUUAUGAAAAAAGAAGAAUACAAGAAAGCCUUCUUUUUCUUAGAACUAUUUCGUUUGAUGGAACCAUUGAUAAUAGUAAUUUUUUUUGCCUCAGUGAAAAUAAUCAUUCUCAAACUGCUGAAGCAUGCAGCUCAAAAGCACCUCUGUUAGUGAGUUCUGAAGAUUAUCCAGUUAGCUUAUAUUCAUCAGAACUUUUCAACCUCAAUAUCAGUGUUGAUGCUGCAAAUUUGGUUUCUGCAAGUCCUUUUUCAAAUGUAGAAAAUGUUGUUUCACAUAAAGCAUUGAUGUGUAAUUCAACUAGUGCAUUGUAUCUAAAUUCAGAUGUUAAGAUAAUAGGUUCAAAAUCUGAACUUGACACACGCACUCAUAGUAAGCAAAAUUUACUGCAUCACAUAGCAGUCUUGAAUAGUUAUAACCAACAAAGAAAUACCACCAGAAAAAGAAUUAUUCUCCUGCAACAUAAAAUUCCAUGCCAAAUAUUCUCUAUAAUUCCUUAUAUUAAAAAAGUUUCAUCAAAUGAAAAGCGUUUAACUACUACUUCUACUGUAACUUUAAUCGAUGAUUUAAGUUUGAAUGGAAAUCCUGUUUCUUUCAGUCAUUUGCUAGUGCCAGAAGGCUGGAGAUUAAAAGGAAUUCCUCCUGAGAUGUUUUCAGAAUAUGGUUAUUUACAUGAUCAUAUAAAUCCACCAUUGUUCUAUGAUCCCCUAAAACUUGAUGAUCCAGAAUUAAUACUGGGAAAACACAGAACUGUUCUUAAUCUUCCUUCAUGUCUGGUCUCUAUUAUUCAGUUUGCAAAGCCUUCUGAGUUAAAGAAAGAUAUCAAUGAGCGGUUCAGAGAAAGAUUUCCUCAAGUUACUAUUACUUUAACCAAGCUAAGAAGUUUGAAAUCUGAAAUCAUUGAGAUAGGAAAAAAGUUCCUUCAGGAAUUGCUGGAAUUCUCGAUAGUGCAAUUUAGAACUGUCUGUAAUAGCUUAUUCUUUUGUGUACUUUGAAAAAGUUAUUUUGAAGUCUAGAGUUACCAAGCAUAAUAGAAAGUACAUUGCAGAAUAUUGCUGAGCAGUUUCGAUUAAAUGCAAGAGAUC